ensembl:snRNA U6 U6 spliceosomal RNA
AUGCUACUGUGGCAGCACAUUUACUAAAACUGGAACAACACAGGGAAGAACAGCAAAACGCCUGCACGAGGAUGACCAUGCACAUUCAUGAAGCAUUCUGUUUUUCA